CGAAAGCCUGACGGAGCAACGCCGCGUGAGGGACGAAGGCCUCUGGGCUGUAAACCUCUUUUCUCAAGGAAGAAGACCUGACGGUACUUGAGGAAUCAGCAUCGGCUAACUCCGUGCCAGCAGCCGCGGUAAUACGGAGGAUGCAAGCGUUAUCCGGAAUCAUUGGGCGUAAAGCGUCCGCAGGUGGCUGUUCAAGUCUGCUGUCAAAGACAGAAGCUCAACUUCUGAAAGGCGGUGGAAACUGUGAAGCUAGAGUACGGUAGGGGUAGAGGGAAUUCCCAGUGUAGCGGUGAAAUGCGUAGAGAUUGGGAAGAACACCAGUGGCGAAGGCGCUCUACUGGGCCGUAACUGACGCUCAGGGACGAAAGCUAGGGGAGCG
rnacentral:rRNA from 1 species